UACGUAGGUGGCAAGCGUUGUCCGGAAUUACUGGGCGUAAAGCGCGUGUAGGCGGGAGGCCAAGUCUGCUGUGAAAUCGCCCGGCUCAACUGGGCGGGGUCGGUGGAAACUGGUCACCUGGAGGACGGUAGAGGCGAGUGGAAUUCCCGGUGUAGUGGUGAAAUGCGUAGAGAUCGGGAGGAACACCAGUGGCGAAGGCGGCUCGCUGGGCCGGACCUGACGCUGAGACGCGAAGGCGUGGGGAGCGAACGGG
rnacentral:rRNA from 1 species